UACAGAGGGUGCAAGCGUUGUCCGGAAUCACUGGGCGUAAAGGGCGCGUAGGCGGCCUGAUAAGUCGGGGGUGAAAUUCUGCGGCUUAACCGCAGGACGGCCUUCGAGACUGGUCGGGCUUGAGCACGGUAGAGGCUGGUGGAAUUCCCGGUGUAGCGGUGGAAUGCGUAGAGAUCGGGAAGAACAUCGGUGGCGAAGGGCGGCCAGCUGGGCCGUUGCUGACGCUGAGGCGCGACAGCGGUGGGGAGCAAACAGG
rnacentral:rRNA from 1 species